ACAACUGAACUUGAGCUCAGCAGUAAAAGCGGAGGCAAAGCAAACAGUUGUGCCCGGGGCCUGCCCUCUCGGAGCUUGGCACCAGCUGGGGAGGAGAGCAUCACCCCCGGGGUGUGGGUUUAAGCGCAGGGGCCCUGGCGGAAGAGGCAUCGUAAAAGGGAUUUAAGAAAUCCCCGUCGGCCGGGGCUACAGAGCGCAUCACCACCCCACAGAGAGCGCCCCUAAACCGCCCUGUGAGGGGAUUGGCUGCAGCCCCACCAGAAAGUUUUACGGGACACAGUUGUUUGAGGUGCUACAGAUGGGGACUUCACAUCAGCUUUGCUUUGUUUGAGAAAGGUUGGAGUUCGGCUGAACUGAAGAGCGUAAAAAUAUACAUUCAGAGCAACCAAAGAAAGCCAGAUGAAUUCAUUAACCCACGGAGAAAACCUCUUGUUCCUAAUUCUGGCCCUGAAUCCUUUUCUAACUUUGCUUUAGUCGGGGGAAGUGCUGUUUUGGUGGCUACAGAUGCUUCUUUUUUUAUCACAGUUUUGUCCAAUACCUCUGGAACGCGUCCACGUCCGUUUUCUGGAUGAUGGAUUCGCAUCCCAAACCCACCGGAAACUAGGAGCUGUAUUGUAAUUUUCAGUAUCAUUCCCUCAACAGACACUCGCUGAAUAUGUUCUACCUGUAGGCACUGGACUGUCUUCUGAGGACAAAGCCCUGAGUAAAAGUGAACGUGGCGUCUGCCCUCAUGCAGUUGAAAUCAAGCCAGCGAAACACACAUCCAUCGCAUCAGCACGCAGCAAAACAGAAAAUUCUGACUGAUGCAGGUGCUGUGAAGAAAUACAAGGAGCUGUGAGCGUUUAAAGUAGGGGAUAGGAUCAAGCCAAAGAAAGAUGUCCCAAGAAAUAGUAAAAGCAAUACGUAUUGAAAACUCACUACGAACUAUGGUUCAGAGCACUUAGACGUAUUUUUUUCUCUUCAGCCACAUGAGACAGGGAUCGUCUAUUAUUAUUCCCACUCUAGAGAUGAGAAGGCUGAAGCAGAGACUCUCGAGUCGAGAGCUGAACUUGGGAUGCGCUCAGCCAAGAUAGGCAAGGUUAUGCUCUGCUACCAAGAAUCCCCCAAAUAUGAAAGUGUACUGCUUGCCUCGAUAUUUCAGGAGGGGAGAAUAAUCCAGACAUAGGUGUCAUCGUAUGCGAAGACCUUGCUCUUGCAUGGAGCCUGGACAGGAUUGCAAAGCAGGGUGGACGACAGGUCUAGAGCAGACCAGGAGCAGACCUGGAGACCGGCAGGGCUUCCCUCCCCACAAUCACAGGGGAGUCUGUGCGUGGUCCCAAGAGCACCACUAGAAUCAUGCAGAACCUACCAGUUAUGCCGCAGGGAGCAAUUCAUCUGAGGCCGACCCACUGUUCGGUAGGCACUGAAAGCACUAAAUUCACCGAUCGGUAUUUUUUGCAAAAACAGAAAAGCAAUUUAAUUUGCAAAAACAGAACAGCAAUUUAAUUUGAAGGCCAGUGUGGGGGCGCCUGGGUGGCUCAGCUGGGGAAGCGUGGGAUUCUUGAUGUCAGCUCAGGUCAUGAUCUCACAGUUCGUGAGUUCGAGCCCUGCACCUGGCUCUGCCCCGACAGCGUGGUCAGAGCCUGCCUGGGAUUCUCUCUCUGUCUCUCUCUGCCCAUCCCUCCCUCCCUCUCUCUCUCAAAAUAAAUACAUAAACACCUUUUAAAGGCCAACGUGAAAAAUUCAGGCUAUUGGCAUUUUUUGCCGCUGUCCCUAAAACUCGAAGGAUGCGAGCCACCCUAUAAAAUGUAGCCAAACAUAUAUCUUCUUUUCCGACACAUAUUUUAUCCAUGAAAAUGUGCGCUCUGCCCAUUUGGUGAACAGCAAUGCAUCCGAAGGAAGCACAGCGUACUGGAAAGAAAAAAAGGCUUUGAGGCAAGGAAAGCCUGGGGUAGUAUCUAUUUCUACCAUUUCACAGUUAUGUGACUUUUGAGCGUGUUAUUUUACCUCACUGAUACUUAGUGUCUUCUAUAAACCCGUUCCUUUCAUCUGGGAGGAUUUUUAGGAGGAUUACACUCGACCACGUAUGUGAUACAUCCGCAAAAUGGUAGCCUCUUUGUCAAAUACGGUACAGGACAUUUUUAACUCACUGAUGUUCCAGAAGCUUCUUCUUCAGCUUUGGUUUUCCAGAUGGAGUGCUGGCCUGUAACUGUAUCUGUGGGACCGGCUUGUGACCACAGUAACGAUGGUGUAAUAUGCACGGGAUGAAAUGGCACGGUGUUAGAUGAUGCUGUGACACAGGUGGUUUUUUGUUUGUUUUCGCUUUGUUUUCUUUUGUGUUUCCUACCGGAGACCUGCCCACCCACUGGUGGGUUAUGGUAAGGAUGGAGUGGAGGGGGGGGGAAGGGAAGUGUGUGAAAAAAGGACUACUUAAUUCUUUAAAUAUAUUAUUUCAUUUAAUUCUUUCAACAACCUGAAGUGCAGAAUUAAGCAAUUAUAUAAUUAGCCAGCGAAUAGAUCAGCUAUUUAUAUAGCCAAACUCAGUAAUUAGGACUGAAAACAUUAUUAACUGAGUUUGUAAAUGAACCCUUCAGGUAUUUACCUUAACUCUGCUUCUUUUUCUUCACCGUAAAUUAUCAGCCUAGGAUAAUUUAUUCGGUUAACUUAAUUGGCAUUAGAGCUCAACCAGAUAAUUCAGAUCUAAAUUAUUCACAUUAUCUUUCAAAUUAUCCCGACAUUCAAAGAAUAUUCCCACUUCUGUUCGCCUUUAUGUGUGGGGUUUUGCCUACAAUGAGACAACCUAUGUACCAUAAAACCCUGAGUAUACGCUCUGCCUGGUUGAUCUCAUCUUGGGAUCAAAAGGAGGCAAAGCAAAGUUUUCUAAAGUUUUAAAAACUAGAGCAGUGGCCUUUUUGAGUGAUAUGCAAUGUCAGACAUUUCAGGGCUUUGAGCCGAAGGACUUUCUGUAGGUUUAGAUGUAGGAUUAUUCCAGGAUCCUAAAAGACUGAGAACUUUAGUAAGAAGUAUUUUGCAGUUAUAUUGAAAAUUAGGGUAGGUGUGUGUAUAUUUAAGAAUGAAGGGGCAUCCACCUAAAAUAUGAAAAGGAGUCUUGUUUUUAGAUGACAUUGCAAAUUUAAGGUUUCAUUUAAAGCUAAGUAUUGUAGGGGCGCCUGGGUGGCUCAGUCAGUUAACUGUCCGACUUCAGCUCAGGUCAUGAUCUCACGGUUCGUGAGUUCGAGUUCCGCGUCGGGCUCUGUGCUGACCGCUCAGAGCCUGGAGUCUGCUUCAGAUUCUGUGGCUCCGUCUUUCUCAGCCCCUCCCCUGCUCACUCGCUCUCUUUCUCUCUCUCUUUCAAAAAUAAAUAACCAUGAAAAAAAUUUAAAGCUAAGUGUAGUAAUACAAUUAUAGAAGAGAAAAAACAAAGUAGAUAUAAAGCAAUAAAAAUUUAAGUAAUUCCCUAUAGACUCAUCAUCAUUAUGUUCUAUUCCCCCACCAAAUCCUUGAAUUAUAUGUUUAGAUAUUUUGUUCAUUCUUGACAUAUACUGCAUUUAAUAGAAAAGUAAUAGGUACAUGGAUAUUAAUACUCCCCUGGACUGGAAAACAUGUCAUAGAAAAUCAAAAUACAUUCAUAAAUACAAUGGGGAUGUUGUAUAUAUGGUAUCCUUUAACCACUGGGUAUAACCGUAAUCAAAGCCGGGAAGACCCAACAAACAUAUGUCUUAUGCAAAAUAAAAGUGCGAUUUCCUGCUAUCUUAAUAGCGUUACUCAGUUUCAGAAUCAUAGAAAUUCGGGACUUAGGACAACCCUUUGCCAUUUUGAAGUUGUGGUUAUGAGUAUUUCCAAGUUAGACCUACUUUCUAGAUUCAAAUUUAAGCAUCUGUGGACCACCUGGCUUCAGUACCCACUUAACUUGAGAUAGGAGGUGAUUUCUUCUAGAAGCAUGCAAUCACAGUGGUUCCCCCAGAAUAUAGCAAGUACAAGCCACAAAGUGGUAGAAAUUGGGCCAAGAAUUUAACAUAGAGUUGCUAUGUUUUCUCCUCUUCCCCUCGCUGUAUUAUUCUUACAACGUUGAACCACUGAAGGUUGAGGAUAAAGGAAUUCCAGACCUACCCAUUUUAACUUGUUGUAAAUUGGAUCAGUUCAGCCAAAUUUUCUUACGUACAAGAACAGAUGGUAUGAUAUUUUAUCAUAAAAUUACUUUUCCUUUGCUUUACGGUAAAAAAAAAUAAAAUAAAAAUCCAACCCCAAAUGACAGUAUAUUUUUCACAGACCUAUGGCCUGUUAUAAUCUGAGUUUAUUUCAGCUCCCUGACCUAAUUUGUGGUUGAGUAUGGCUUCUUUCGUGCCUGCAGAUGUACAAAAUGAAAAAAGUUCUUUUAUGAAUGGAAAUAUUUUUUUCCUGCUUAUGCAAUAGAUGGGUGUUUAAGAAGAGGGAAAAAUAGUUCCCCCACGUUUGUCAUCCAGGUUCCAUUUGUUCAGAUAAUGGACUCACUACUUUACUUAUCGGGACAUUGCUCUCUCGUUUCAAAAUUAAUUAUAGAACAUACUCAAAUGUGUACCUCUGCCUGUGUGUACACAAAGUGGACAUUUGAAGAAAUCACUUGAAUAUUUCAGGCAAAAAAAAUACUUUAUUUAAAACAUGUAAUUGAUUAAGGGAAAGUAGAGAAUUUUGUUUGAAUUAUUAAGAGAAUUGUGUGCUGUUAAUUUCGUUUUUGUGUGAGUAGAGUCAUCUUUUAAAUAAUUCAUGCUUCCUUAUGACCAAGUUUUCUUCCUUUGCUCGUAUGUACUUUGCAGAUGAUUAUGGAUUCUGAAACCACAACACGUGACCAGGAAAAAUGAAGGCUCGUUCAAUGAAUUUCAUGAUAUCCCAGUAUUUUUUUUUCUUCCCUCACAAGAUAUGUUCUCUCUCUCAGCCUGGAUCAUAUGCUGUGCCCCCAAAUUGGAAGAAUUUAAAGAAAUUCGGGAUUUGGGGGUUGGCUGGAUGUGUGUGUGUUUCUUGUCUUCCCUCUGAGAAAUGGAGAAGUUAGUUUCCCUUUCUUUUGCACAUCUAGUUUCCUUAGAAGGGACUAGAAGCUAUUGCCGUGUGAAAGUUUGGACUUAGGGAUGAGAAAGUGAAGCCAAAUACAGAUAUCCAUCUAGCAUGAAUCCCUUUACAACUUGUGCUAAUUGGCAAUUUUGGGUGGUCUUGGUAGAGAGACUAAUAAUUGAACGGGAAAGAAGUCACAAUUCCCGAAAUGGACCUACUAGUCCCUGAGCAGUGUCAUCGUAACAAGAAUGUACUGGAAUGUUCAGCUAAUUUCCUCUAUAGACCUACUGCUGGGGUAAAGAGGGGAUUCGAGCUUUGCUCUUGGGGUGCCGCCUGUCACCAGCACCAAAUUUAGUCCCAAGACACCGGAGGAAACUAUGUCAGGCCUAUCUUGCAGCAUCUUUCUGAUUCACAGCCGAAUCACAAUGUACCAUGAAGGGUUUGCAAUAAAGAGUGAUAUGUUGGGGAAAUUAAAUCAUGAAUUAGAGCUGUUAAUUACACACACGUUGGUUUAAAGCUGAAACAAAUGCUUCUAUCUGCCCUUUGUUGCACAUUUUACAUGCCUGCCUGUUCCUCCGCUGCUGGUGCUCGGUCUGUUUCUCUCUGAUCUACUGCCCCUAACACCUUCGCUACCCAAUUCCAAGCGCUAACACAAAUGUAAAAUGUAAAUUGCGGCCUAGAUUGUUGCUACCAGAGUGUGGAGAGAGACUCCGGGUUCCGUAACAGCCUAGACAUACGGAGGAUCGACUUCCGCAUCCUUGGAAGAGACCGCCUAUGCGCUAGAGACCUCCAAGCCAACUUACUUCGCACUGAAAUUUCCUUCUUCUUUUCCUUCUCAUUAUAAAGGCUGACGCAUAAUUUAACCAACGUUUCCCUCCAGCGGCGAUCGUCCUAUCUUGCUGGGUCAUCCCCAAACUGCGAAGGCACGACUGACGGCCAUAAUGCGCUUUAACGAACUUCCAUCCCCCCACCCCCGCCCCCGAGAACUUUCUAUCAAAGAAGUGGUUGAGUUAUUCUGAAGUUGAAAACUACUGAGAGAAGAACACAGGCAAGACACAGCCGGGCGGACCCAGUGUGCUUGGAGGAUGAGGAGUAAGUUACUGUGGUUUACGAUCGUGCAGGAUAAGAAGUAGCAGGAGAUGGUCUACGAAAGGAAUAUUAUGUUCCAAUUAUGAUAGCUCUUAGGCAGCAAGGAUUUGGAUUUCAUCCAGCAAGCAGCAGGAAGGAAUCAAUGGACAUUUUUGUCAAGAGAUAGUAUCCACUUUGUUGUUUAGAAGAAAAAAGACACACACACACACACACACACACACACACACACACGGUCCGGUGAUGUUACAGAAAAAAAUUAACCAAGGAAAAGAGGAAAACCGUUGCGCUCAUCAGAACAAGAGGUGAUGUGACCUAGUGUAAGGCAGUGGGAGCAUGUGAAUGGCAAGGAGGAGACUUAGUUUGGUACCAUUCUGAGACCAAGGGAUGGCGGUACUUAGCAUUCUAUUGAUGUGAUAGACGGUAGAGAAGGGUUUAAAGUGGAUGGAUAAUAGCUUCUGUCACCCAAAGAGGUCAGAGAAAAGAACAGAUGUUGCCAAACAGUCUCUACAUUUUAUUUUAUCUGUAAUGCAUCUGAAAUUCUUAAGGAUCCUCCAAGAGGAGAUGCCUGUAGAGAGUUGAAAACACAGCCUAGUUUUACCUAGCGGAGUCAGGGCUGAAGAAAGACGUUAGGUGACCAUCAGAAGUUACUGGAAUUGCCUGCAAAGAGAAAGAGAGUGUACGAUGAACGGAACUGGGAACAGAGCCAUCAAGACCACCAGCAUUUAAGGAGCUGGGGGUAGGGCGGGGGGAAGGGGCACCAAUGACUGAAUCAGAGAAGAAACUAAUUGAAGAGAAAAUCGGGGCAAGAUUCUUGCUAUAACAUCCCAAGAGUGAACCUGCCAGCU